rnacentral:rRNA from 1 species
GCUGGCGGCAUGCCUAACACAUGCAAGUCGAACGGUAACAGGUCUUCGGAUGCUGACGAGUGGCGGACGGGUGAGUAAUGCGUAGGAAUCUGUCUUUUAGUGGGGGACAACCCAGGGAAACUUGGGCUAAUACCGCAUGAGCCCUGAGGGGGAAAGCGGGGGAUCUUCGGACCUCGCGCUAAGAGAGGAGCCUACGUCCGAUUAGCUAGUUGGCGGGGUAAAGGCCCACCAAGGCGACGAUCGGUAGCUGGUCUGAGAGGACGACCAGCCACACUGGGACUGAGACACGGCCCAGACUCCUACGGGAGGCAGCAGUGGGGAAUUUUUCGCAAUGGGGGCAACCCUGACGAAGCAAUGCCGCGUGGAUGAAGAAGGCCUUCGGGUUGUAAAGUCCUUUCGUGGAGGACGAAAAGGUGGGUUCUAAUACAAUCUGCUAUUGACGUGAAUCCAAGAAGAAGCACCGGCUAACUCCGUG